rnacentral:snRNA from 1 species
GUGCUUGCUUUGGUGGCACAUGUACCAAUAUUUAAUCCUCACAGAGAAGAUUAGUAUGGACAAGAUGACACACAAAUCCAUGGAGAUAUCAGAUGUUCUG